rnacentral:ncRNA from 2 species
ACCAACUGUAGGGGUCAAGGUUCUUUCGAUUCUUGUUUGGAUCGGGAGUGAAAAGGGAAGCCGGUGCGCCUUCUGGGCAAGUCCGGCGCUGCCCCCGCAACUGUAAGCAGCGAGCCGCUUUCGUUUUGUGUCACUGGCGCCCAAUGUGUGCUGGGAAGGCCGAACAGCGGUGACGACCUGCAAGCCAGGAGACCUGCCAUGACGAGAUAAACGUC